UUAUUACUCGUUCUAUGUGCUGCUGUGACAUGAAGCAGAGGAUACAAUAAAGCAUUACCGAAGCUCUCUGAACAACUAAAGCAACUGCGUGAACAGAAGAUCUCAGAACAACUGUUCGAGAUGUCUGAACAAGUAAAGCAAAUGAGUGCUGAUGUCACAUAAGACGAGACACAGAGACCAGAGAUCAGAGAAAGUGAAAGGCAACGGUUCAUUUUUGUUGAAGAGACUGCCAUAAGUAAAGCAUUUGGUCCUGAUAAGAGAUUGAGAGACAGACAGGGCAGGAAGAGAAUUGCAAUCAGAGCUGAAAAUGAAGAAGUUCAUGCACAUGAUUUCGCAGAUGAUGUGAAGAUCUCUGAACAAGAAACAAGUGCUGAUGCUACAAAAGAAGAGGCAACGAGACCAGAGAUCAGAGAAGAUAGAUCGGCUCCUGGAAAUGAACUGGAAGAGCUGAAAGAAGAAUUAACAGGAAGAGAAAUGACUGAAGAAACACCUUUUAUGAGCCAAAAGGAAGCGGAUGGACUGAAUGAGUAGCUAUAGAAGAUUCCGUUUAGUGAGACACGACACAUCCACAAGUGUCAAUCACUGUGACAUCAUCAACAUUUCAGCUCUGUCUUUUACAAGCUUCUAGAAUCCAUCCAGUCAAACUGAGAAAUGUACUCCGUGUCUCUUGUGUAAAAGUUUUUGGUUUCAGAUGAACAGGGAAAUGUGUUGUUGAAACAAUGUCAUUUAAAAUGUUCACUACAUACUUGUUAUCCUAUGAUGUGUUUUACCACAGAAGUAUCUCUCAAACCAUUGUGUGUUGUACACAGAUAAUGUUCUCAUUUAGCUUUGACCACAGUGCCUCUAAAGAGCACAUGACCUUCUCCUCAUGUGUAGAAAUUCAUCAGACUGUAAUCAAGACACACACAGUAUUCAAUGUGACACUUUUGUUGCAGAAAUUAACCUAUUAAUUAACUAGUAACUAAGUUACUGAUCUUUUAAUGGCUGACUCCAGUUAUUGUCUGUUGCGAUUGGAGGAAUCACAACAUCAUUCUAUGCCUUGUUGAUUGAGUCUUUCUCUGU